UAUAUAUAUAUAUAUAUAUAUAUAUAUAUAAGGCAUAAUAUAUGAGAUAUUAGAUCAUCAGCAUGCCAUUAAUAUAUGAGAUAUUGGCAAUGUUAAAACUACUCCUUCUUGUGCUCUUGUCAGCGGCUUCUCUGCAAGCUAUUACCACUCAUGGGCAACCGUAUGACUACCUACAAUAUGUACUACAAUGGCAGAAGACGAAAUGCUUGAAGGUCGGGAAACGGUGCACUCCAGUGCAUCAACCAUAUGAGGAGUUCACUACUCACGGCCUCUGGCCAACCAACCUCUCCAAUAAAUUGACAUGCAAAUCAGCUUCAAAAUUUAACAGCACUAUGGUACGUAUAUAUUUCUUUAUUUCUUAAAUCUUUUUAUUCUUUCUUUAAUGUACUUUAUAUUCAUUCCUUUUUAUUUACAGUUUUCAUUUAUGAUCGAUUGAUCUGAUAUCGCCAAAUCUAAUUAUAGCUUUCUAUCAUAUAAUACUAUAAUUAAUUAGCUGCAAAAUGAUGCUUCAUUGCUAUCGAAGAUGGAAAAGUCCUGGCCAAAUCUGGAGCAGAGAGUUGCCCAAAGAAAAGACAACGAUAUGUUGUUUUGGGCGAUGGAGUACGAAAAACACGGUACAUGUGCCAAGUUUUCUAGCCAGAAUACUUACUUGUCAAAAGCAUGUGAUUUGUGGGAAGAAAACAAGAUUAAGGCGAUUUUUGAGCACCACAAAAUCUUUCCAACAAACGCGACGUCGUAUAAAGAUGUUUUGCUUAUGAAUGCUAUUCAAAUGGAAACUCGCAGUUCUCCUCUCCUUCUUUGCCAUAGA
rnacentral:lncRNA from 1 species